UUGGACUCCUCAAUUUGAUAAUUUUUGUCAUUUGCUUUACCAUCACAACAAAUUCAUACUUUUGGUGGUAAUAAAGAAAUUCCUACUAAAAUAAACGAGGUCUUUUAAUAAUGUCUUUUUAAUGUCUACAAUAAUCUUAUAAGCCCCCCUUCGUAUAAGCCCCACUCGAUUAAGCCCCUAUCCAAAAAUAUCAAAAAUAAAUAAGCCCCCAGAGGGCUAAUACGAGGAUUGACGGUACAUAUCUGAUACCCUUUGGUUUCCUCUACGGAGGAGCCCUUGCCUUCCCAUCAUGCCCUAUAAGGCCAAUGCUGUUAGAAAAAUGGCUUCCAAAAUUUUUUCGUGGAAUCGAGAACGAGAGAGAUAUCAAGUAGGGAAUUAUUUCGUGCACGAAAAGCUGUAAAGGCAAAUGAAGAUGGUCCAAUACAUCCAAAAGGGCUCACAAAAUCCUCUUCAAAGCUUCACCAAUGUAGCCAGUUGAUGCUAUGAAGACCUAGAGACUGGAUAUGAAUAGGAUUUGGACUGAAACUUCGUAAAAAGGUUGAUGGCUUUGGCAGGUGAAAUUUCGUUGCUGCAGACACCUAGUGGACGUCACAUCAGAAGAUGAUGUCGAUGCACCAGUAGCAAAGAGGCAAACGAAAAUGAAGAAAAGUUUUACCAGAUGAAUCAAGUCUCUAUACAGAAAUCCAAGACAGACACUUUCCUAGUUUGUAAUCGUUUACAUCUUUAACAAUUUUCCAGCCACAAGACCAUUGCAGAGAGUUCCUUUCCAUAUGGCAUGUAAACUUGAUUUCUCACGCUCGACCUUGUAACAUCUCCCUGUAACUUGUCCAGUCGCCUUUAGCUCCAGAGUGGAAUGCCCCCCCCCCUCGCCUUUAAAGCUUAUGCGCCGCCUAACUACCGAAAACGUUCGUCCUUACUGCUCUAAAUUAAGUAGGAUAACUCUGAAUGGAAAGCUGCUAUUUAGAGCCAUUUAUUGUCGGGAAACAUACAAAGGAGUCCCUAAGUUAACGAUAAACACACCCUCUUCGAUCGCGAAGAACAUACAAUGCCUGCCAAAAGUACUUGGAACACCCACCAAUUUACGCUGCAUUUGAUAUCUUUCAUUCCUUUCAUGAAAAAAAUUUGCUACUUCCGCCCCCUUCCCCCUCAAACAAUGUUGAUGAUUUAGAGAAAUAUCAUUAAAGAAGCGCAAAAGAAAGUGCUUCCUAAAAUCCUAAUCCGUUUGAUGGUAAACCAACAUUGUUCCGUGGGGGAGAGGGGGAUGAUUGGUUUUGACCUUGGAAAUUGAUGUCAGUGCUCCAAGACUUUUGGCAGGCAUUGUAGGUCAAUGCAAUAUCCAGGGCAAUCGCAAAGCAAGCCUUGCUGGGGGGGAGGGGGGUGUGGACAACAAAUUUACCUGAUGGGAAAACAAUUACCUGAAAUUCUUAAGUUGCUGAAACAAACUUCUGCAAUCAAUUUUGCUAAUCUAACGGUGUUGCAUAUAAUUCGCAACGCUCAUUUUUAUAUGAUAAUAACGGACUUUUCUAAUAGUUUUGUCAAAUCUGUAUAUUGGGACUGGCAUGGAUAUAACUACCCUAGGCGGCACCAUGGCUACCACCGAAGGACUAGAAAAUUUUGAUCCUUCCUGUUCCCUGGAAAUUACACUCUUUUAACCAAUUUUUUCUAAAGCAAUCCUCUUAAUCCUAUUGAAAAUUGUUUCAUUUUUGCAAACAAAUUGAUCAGCAGAGAUAUGUAACAAACAGCACUUGUUGUCAAUCUAGAUCUCUCUUUCCAUCUUAGCAUGCCUUUUGAAUGUUUCAAAAAAUUUGGAGCUCAUUAUGAAUUGCAGUUGACGCUUCUACCGCGAAACUUUAAAGGAAAUGGACACAAGGCACAAUUUUACAUAAAGAGGGCUUGAUUUUUAGAUUUUGUGCCAACAAGAAAUCUUGAAAUCUUCAAGUCAUUAGUUUGUUUACCUUCCUUCAUAUCAGUUUUUGAUCUUAAGACAUGACGGUCUGUGAAAUUCCUAAAGGGCUCUAAAGCGUUUCUUCCACUGGGCGGACAUAACCUGAAAUUUACUAUCGGGAUACUUUUGGGGGGUGUGCCACCCCCCGGUCGCGACGCCACUGGCAAUAUCAAACCCCUUUCCGACCCCUA